rnacentral:misc_RNA from 1 species
AACCUAGCACACCUGCGGUGUGUACCUGCGGAGGGAUCAUUACCGAGUUUACAACUCCCAAACCCCUGUGAACAUACCUAUACGUUGCCUCGGCGGAUCAGCCCGCGCCCCGUAAAAAGGGACGGCCCGCCCGAGGACCCCUAAACUCUGUUUUUAGUGGAACUUCUGAGUAAAACAAACAAAUAAAUCAAAACUUUCAACAACGGAUCU